rnacentral:rRNA from 1 species
GAGCUCGUAGGCGGUUUGUCACGUCUGCUGUGAAAACCCGAGGCUCWACCUCGGGCUUGCAGUGGGUACGGGCAGACUAGAGUGCGGUAGGGGAGAUUGGAAUUCCUGGUGUAGCGGUGGAAUGCGCAGAUAUCAGGAGGAACACCGAUGGCGAAGGCAGAUCUCUGGGCCGUAACUGACGCUGAGGAGCGAAAGCAUGGGGAGCAAACAGGCUUAGAUACCCUGGUAGUCCAUGCCGUAAACGUUGGGAACUAGAUGUGGGGACCAUUCCACGGUCUCCGUGUCGUAGCUAACGCAUUAAGU